CCUACGGGUGGCUGCAGUGGGGAAUAUUGGGCAAUGGGCGCAAGCCUGACCCAGCAACGCCGCGUGAAGGAAGAAGGCUUUCGGGUUGUAAACUUCUUUUAAGAGGGAAGAGCAGAAGACGGUACCUCUUUAAUAAGCCACGGCUAACUACGUGCCAGCAGCCGCGGUAAUACGUAGGUGGCAGGCGUUGUCCGGAUUUACUGGGUGUAACGGGCGUGUAGCCGGGCUGACAAGUCAGAGGUGAAAUCCCGUGGCUCAACCACGGAACUGCAUUUGAAACUGUCGGUCUUGAGUAUCGGAGAGGCAGGCGGAAUUCCUAGUGUAGCGGUGAAAUGCGUAGAUAUUAGGAGGAACACCAGUGGCGAAGGCGGCCUGCUGGACGACAACUGACGGUGAGGCGCGAAAGCGUGGGGAGCAAACAGGAUUAGAUACCCGUGUAGUC
rnacentral:rRNA from 1 species